rnacentral:tRNA from 1 species
UGUUAGCUCAGUUGGUAGAGCAACUGACUCUUAAUCAGUGGGUCUAGGGUUCGAAUCCCUGA